AGAGUUUGAUCCUGGCUCAGGAUGAACGCUGGCGGCGUGCUUAACACAUGCAAGUCGAACGAACCUUCGGGUUAGUGGCGGACGGGUGAGUAACGCGUGGGAAUCUGCCCUCAGGAGGGGGAUAACGGCUGGAAACGGCCGCUAAUACCCCAUAUGCCGAGAGGUGAAAUGAAUUUCGCCUGAGGAUGAGCCCGCGUCUGAUUAGCUUGUUGGUGAGGUAAUGGCUCACCAAGGCUUCGAUCAGUAGCUGGUCUGAGAGGAUGAUCAGCCACACUGGGACUGAGACACGGCCCAGACUCCUACGGGAGGCAGCAGUGGGGAAUUUUCCGCAAUGGGCGAAAGCCUGACGGAGCAACGCCGCGUGAGGGACGAAGGCCUCUGGGCUGUAAACCUCUUUUCUCAAGGAAGAAGAUAUGACGGUACUUGAGGAAUAAGCCACGGCUAAUUCCGUGCCAGCAGCCGCGGUAAUACGGGAGUGGCAAGCGUUAUCCGGAAUUAUUGGGCGUAAAGCGUCCGCAGGCGGCCUUUCAAGUCUGCUGUUAAAACGUGGAGCUUAACUCCAUCAUGGCAGUGGAAACUGAUUGGCUUGAGUGUGGUAGGGCAGAGGGAAUUCCCGGUGUAGCGGUGAAAUGCGUAGAUAUCGGGAAGAACACCAGUGGCGAAGGCGCUCUGCUGGGCCAUAACUGACGCUCAUGGACGAAAGCCAGGGGAGCGAAAGGGAUUAGAUACCCCUGUAGUCCUGGGCCGUAACGAUGAACACUAGGUGUCGGGGGGAAUCGACCCCCUCGGUGUCGUAGCCC
rnacentral:rRNA from 1 species